rnacentral:rRNA from 1 species
GACGAACGCUGGCGGCGUGCCUAAUACAUGCAAGUUGGGCGCUGAAGGUUGGUACUUGUACCAACUGGAUGAGCAGCGAACGGGUGAGUAACGCGUGGGGAAUCUGCCUUUGAGCGGGGGACAACAUUUGGAAACGAAUGCUAAUACCGCAUAAAAACUUUAAACACAAGUUUUAAGUUUGAAAGAUGCAAUUGCAUCACUCAAAGAUGAUCCCGCGUUGUAUUAGCUAGUUGGUGAGGUAAAGGCUCACCAAGGCGAUGAUACAUAGCCGACCUGAGAGGGUGAUCGGCCACAUUGGGACUGAGACACGGCCCAAACUCCUACGGGAGGCAGCAGUAGGGAAUCUUCGGCAAUGGACGAAAGUCUGACCGAGCAACGCCGCGUGAGUGAAGAAGGUUUUCGGAUCGUAAAACUCUGUUGGUAGGGAAGAACGUUGGUGAGAGUGGAAAGCUCAUCAAGUGACGGUAACUACCCAGAAAGGGACGGCUAACUACGU